UACGGAGGAUGCAAGCGUUAUCCGGAAUGAUUGGGCGUAAAGCGUCCGCAGGGGGCAUCUCAAGUCUGCUGUCAAAGCCCCCAGCUUAACUGGGAAGAGGCAGUGGAAACUGGGAAGCUAGAGAGCAAUAGGGGUAGAGGGAAUUCCUGGUGUAGCGGUGAAAUGCGUAGAGAUCGGGAAGAACACCAGUGGCGAAAGCGCUCUACUAGGUUGCAUCUGACACUGAGGGACGAAAGCUAGGGGAGCGAAUGGG
rnacentral:rRNA from 1 species